GAGUGAAGCAGUUCUGAAAAGUAAUUUGGGGCCUCUUUGGAGUCUUAUGGACUUGUGCACAGUGCCAUCAAUAUUAGACUUCCAGAGUGCGAAGGGCUAUAAUGGAGUGACCCAGGGAAAAUUUCACUGCUCUGUAUCAAAGGUGGUGAGCUGCCCUAUGGAAAGAACCAUGUGACAAGGAAACCAGGAUGAUCUCUGACCAACAAAUGAUAAGAAACUAAAUCCUGCCACCUGAAAUGAGGAAAGGUUCCUGUCACCAAGCAAUGGAAGUCCAUGAGGAACUGAGUCCUAUUAACACCUAUAUCACUGAAUUUGGAAUCAGAUCUUCUUCCACUUGAGUCUAUAGAUGAGACCACACCUCUGCCUGAUGGUGUGACUGCAGCAUCAUGAAAACCUGAGGCAGAUGCAGGCAUCUAACUUCUGCUCAGUUGCUAGACCCAGAGAAGUGGGAUCAUAAAUAUUUGUUGAUUGAAACUACCAAGUUUUGAGUCAAUUUUCAAUACAGCUAAAGAUAACCAACUAGCAUUUUUUAUAACUUGUAACAAAAUAAUUACCUUGUCUUAUCACAUGUUGUGAUCUGACUCUGAAUUUGAAAAUGCUUUGAAAAUGUUGACAAUUGUUAAAGUUGGUUAAUACGUAUGUAGGGUUUAUGAUG